UGGGCGCAAGCCUGAUCCAGCCAUACCGCAUGGGUGAAGAAGGCCUUCGGGUUGUAAAGCCCUUUUGUUGGGAAAGAAAUCCAGCUGGCUAAUACCCGGUUGGGAUGACGGUACCCAAAGAAUAAGCACCGGCUAACUUCGUGCCAGCAGCCGCGGUAAU
rnacentral:rRNA from 1 species